UUACGGCCAUGUCACGUUGAAACACCGAUUCUCGUACGAUCACCGAAGUUAAGCAACGUAGAGACUAGUCAGUUCUGGAUGGGUGACGGCUUAGGAAUAUCAG